rnacentral:piRNA from 1 species
AAACGUAACCUUGGGGUCUGUGG